UUUUAAAUAAGAUAUUAAUAUUAAUAUUAGUUAUUGAAAAUAUUAUUUUUAUUGUUUAUAAUGUUACUAUUUUUUAUUUUAUUUAUUUUUUAAAAAUUUUUUAUUUUUUAAAUUUUUAUUUUUUUAAAAAGUUUUUAUUUUUUAAAAAAGUUUUUUAUUUUUUUAAAAAGUUUUUAUUUUUUAAAAUUUUUUAUUUUUUAAAGUUUUUAUUUUUAAAAAUUUUUAUUUUUUAUUUAAGUUUUUUUAUUAAAAUUAUUUAAUUUAAAAGAAAAUAUUAAAAAUUAAUUAUUAUGCUUAUUUAUUCAUAUAUGUUAUUAUGUAAUUUUUUAAAUUAGUAUAAAAAAUUAAGUUAAUUUAAUAAAAAUUAUUAAAUUUUAAAAAAUAAAUUAAUAAAUAUUGGUUUUAUAAAUAUUUAUAAAUCAAUAUAUAAUUAUAUAUAUAUAUUUAUUAAUAUAAAAUUAAUAUUUAUAUAUAUAUAAUUAUUUAUAAAUUAAUAUAUAAUUAGAGAAUAAAAUAAUAUAUAUAUAUUUAUAUAAUUAUAAAUAUAUAUAAUAUUAUAUAUAUAUAUAUAUAUAUUUUAUUUUAAAUAAAUAAAAUAUAACAAAAAAAAAAAAAAAACUCAUUUUAUUAUUUAUUAUUAAUAUUUAAAUUAAUUAAUAAAAAAAAAUAUUUAUAAUAUAAAAUAGUUAAUUUUAUAUUUAAAAUUUUAUAUAAAUAUAUAUAUAUAUAUAUAUAUAUAUAUAUAUAUAUAUAUAUAUAUAUAUAUAUAUAUAUAUAUAUAUAUAUAUAUAUAUAUAUAUAUAUAUAUAUAUAUAUA
rnacentral:rRNA from 1 species